rnacentral:snRNA from 1 species
ACUUCCUUGUCUUGGGGAGCAGAAAUGUCCAAUGAACGUCUAGUGAGGGCAUUGCUGCUGACACCAAUUACAUUUAUUCCCGUCUGCCAGGCCACUCACUGUGGCUGGUCUUCGGAAUUUUUGGCCAAAGGCUCCCUUACUUUAUAGGGAGCCGCAUACGGAAUA